CACACUUUGUUAUUUCAAAAGGUUUACAGACUUAUUUUGUGUGACCUUUCCAGCACUUACUGAAUACACUUCUCGACAAUUUGCAACAGAUGCGAAACAACUGGUCACAACUUAACCAUCUGCUAUUCUUAUUCUCGCCUGUGAAUUUAUCUUAAUUGCAUUCUGUACGAAAUAAGUGCUACAUUAUCGUCAGCAAACGCAGCCGGAGUUAAUUCCCGGCGGUUUUGAGUGGAUAAUCCGGAAUUAAAUGUAAACAGAGGUUUAGAUGAAGGCCAUUUAGCGGGAACUUUAACUUCAAGUGGGGUUGUCUAGGGGAGAGCUUUCUUCUGAUUACAGCCAGACUUCUUAGUCAAUAGCGGUAAUGACGCUCGCAAUAGCGUAAUAACAACAUUUCCCUGGCAAAUGGAAUGUUCCUGAGUCAUGAGAAUCAAAAUGAUGAUGCAGCAAAAGUCAAACUUGCCAAGGAUUUCAAAACUGGUGGUGAUAAUGGCCGGACAGACGGCUUACAACUAAUCCAGUGGUUCUUGGUUGCUACAUAGAUCUAACAAUACUUAAUGCUGAAUUGGAUUUAAUGCGUCAGCAAAGUCAAGGAGUCGAAGGAAAUUGGACAGUACCUCCCGUCCCUCGGACAUUUAUUUUCUUCAAGCAAAGUAAUUAUUUUUUUUUCCCAAUCCACACCCCCCCCCCUGUAUCCGCCCCUGAUGUUAUCCCUUUGUUGUAUACGCCUCCUUCAAGUAAGGUUGCACGUGACAAUCCGUGUGUAGUAGCCCGCGAUGCUGUAAGGGUUUAAAAUAAAAUUUAAAAACACACAA